CAGAGAGCACUGUUGUUCCAAGCUGCGCUGCGCGUUCGCAUUUGCCAAAAUUGCAAAGAUUUCUGCUCCUCCUCUAUCUAUCAACUGCUAUCAACAAAACCAGCAAUGCUAUCUCCUUGUCGUUGUGAUAAAGUAGCAGAAAAUUACUCCUACAUUCGCUAAGGAAGGAAGGAAGGAAGAAGAAGAAGAAGAAGAUGGAGAUUUUUUACCGGCCCUAUAUCGACCCCGAAUUCGAAUGCCUUAUUGAAAGAAUCUACCCUCCAUGGGUUUGUAUCGACAAUGACUCAUACAAAGAUUGUACGCUUGUGAAGGUUAGAUGCAUA